CCUACGGGAGGCAGCAGUGAGGAAUAUUGGUCAAUGGGCGAGAUCCUGAACCAGCCAAGCCGCGUGAGGGAAGACGGCCCUAUGGGUUGUACACCUCUUUUGUAUGGGAACAAAACCCGGGACGUGUCCCGGACUGCGUGUAUCAUAUGAACAAGCAUCGGCUAACUCCGUGCCAGCAGCCGCGGUAAUACGGAGGAUGCGAGCGUUAUCCGGAUUUAUUGGGUUUAAGGGGUGCGUAGGCGGUCCAUUAAGUCAGCGGGAAAAUUGCGGGGCUCAACCCCGGCGAGCCGUUGAAACUGGCAGACUUGAGUUGGCUAGAAGUACGCGGAAUGCGCGGUGUAGCGGUGAAAUGCAUAGAUAUCGCGCAGAACUCCGAUUGCGAAGGCAGCGUACCGGCGCCAGACUGACGCUGAGGCACGAAAGCGUGGGGAUCGAACAGGAUUAGAUACCCGAGUAGUC
rnacentral:rRNA from 1 species